rnacentral:rRNA from 1 species
CAGGCCUAACACAUGCAAGUCGAGCGGUAACAUGUCUAGCUUGCUAGACGAUGACAAGCGGCGGACGGGUGAGUAAUACUUGGGGAUCUGCCUGAUGGCGGGGGACAACCACUGGAAACGGUGGCUAAUACCGCAUAAUACCUACGGGUCAAAGUGUGGGACCUUCGGGCCACAUGCCAUCAGAUGAACCCAAGCGAGAUUAGCUAGUUGGUGGGGUAAAGGCUCACCAAGGCGACGAUCUCUAGCUGUUCUGAGAGGAUGAUCAGCCACACUGGGACUGAGACACGGCCCAGACUCCUACGGGAGGCAGCAGUGGGGAAUAUUGGACAAUGGGCGCAAGCCUGAUCCAGCCAUGCCGCGUGUGUGAAGAAGGCCUUCGGGUUGUAAAGCACUUUCAGUGGUGAGGAAGGGGAGCAAGUUAAUAACUUGCUUCAUUGACGUUAGCCACAGAAGAAGCACCGGCUAACUCCGUGCCAGCAGCCGCGGUAAUACGGAGGGUGCGAGCGUUAAUCGGAAUUACUGGGCGUAAAGCGCACGUAGGCGGUUUGUUAAGCAAGAUGUGAAAGCCCAGGGCUCAACCUUGGAAUUGCAUUUUGAACUGGCAGGCCAGAGUUUUGAAGAGGGUGGUAGAAUUUCCAGUGUAGCGGUGAAAUGCGUAGAUAUUGGAAGGAAUAUCAGUGGCGAAGGCGGCCACCUGGUCAAAAACUGACGCUGAGGAGCGAGAGCGUGGGGAGCAAACAGGAUUAGAUACCCUGGUAGUCCGCGCCGUAAACGAUGUCAACUAGUUGUUCGUGUCAUUAUGACGUGGGUAACGCAGCUAACGCACUAAGUUGACCGCCUGGGGAGUACGGCCGCAAGGUUAAAAC